CAAGCCUAGGACAGCCCCAAUCAGAUGAAGAGCUCAGACGGUUCAUCCUGGCUGCAGGGUGGAGAUGGAUUGAAAUUAGCAAAUCUGAAAGUGUGUCUGUCACCCUGUGGCCUGGUCUAAGGGAGUAAGAAUGAGGAUGAAGCCAGGUGGAUAGAUCUAAGCAAUAUUAAGGAAGUCAGUUUCACUGUAUUUUGUAAUUAAGAAGAUGAGAAGCGUGAGGGAGAGGAUGGCACCUGCUUUCUGGCUUAGGCAGCUGAGGAGUAGAUGGUGGUGCCACUUUCUGUGAUGGGGAAUGGUUGAGUGGGGUGCGUGGAGACUAAGUGGGAUGCUGAGCUCAGUGUUGAACUAAUUGAAUGUCAGAAGCCCAAGGCACAUCCAAGGAGAAGUGUCCUAAGGCAGUUGGUGGCACUAGUCUGGAGUUUGGGAGCAAUGCCUCAGCUGGAGACAGUUUUUGAGUCACUGGAGUAUAUGUGGGUAAUGCAGCAGGCAUGAGGGAUGCAUAAGAUGCCUGAAGGCGAAUAUUUUAAAAAGAAGAGAAAAGGGUAGAGGACCCAGCCCUCCUGGGCUCCUCAGUGUGAAUGCAUAAUUAGUACACUACCAGAUGAAGGGAAGAUUCCAGAAGAUGCAGAGAAAGCACGGCCAGAGGUGACCCCAGGGCAGGAGCAAUAUUUUGGUGAGUGAGCAACAGUGAGAGAUGUGCAAAGGAGUCAACUUAGGAAAAGCGUGAGAGAUGUUCAAUGAACUUAGACAUGAGGAGGUCUUUGGUUUCCUCAGGAAGGGCAGCAUCAGUAGCGUGGUGGAAUUUGGGGUGAGUGGAAGCAAAAUGUAGAUAAACCAUUAAUCUUUUAUGUAGGGAUUACUUAUAAUUCAAAGCAGUUACUGUAAUUCAGAAUGAUACAAAGGUAAAUAAAUUAUAGAGCAAGUAAGCAUUCCAGUAGGUUUUAACCCCUUAUCCUGCUUUACAUUUCUGCAUAGCGUAUUUGACAACUUGAAGUGAUUGUAUUUGUGCCACUGGUUGCUGUCUGCCUCUCCUAUAGAAGGAAGAACCAAUCCCAGCACUUUGGGAGGCUGAGGUAGGUGGAUCACAAGGCCAAGAGAUCAAGACCAUCCUGGCCAAAAUGGUGAAACCUUGUCUCUACUAAAAAUACAAAAAUUAGCUGGGCGUAGUGGUGCGGGCCUGUAGUCUCAGCUAUCCAGGAGGCUGAGGCAGGAGAAUCGCUUGAACCUGGGAGGCGGAGGUUGCAGUGAGCCGAGAUCGCACCACUGCACUCUGGCCUGGCAACAGAGCAAGACUCCAUCUUAAAAAAAAAAAAAAAAAAAGGAAGAGAAGCAUGAAGGCUGCAGCUUUGUCUUGUUCACUCCUGCAGCCGCAGUGCUUGGCCCAAAGUGGCCAAAAUGUUGGUUGAAUAAAUGAUAGAGAGAAUCUGAUGAAAAUACAUAAAUUAAAAAAGAAAUCAUAAUUUGAGCUAUAUAUGUACAGGCUAUUUACAAAAUAAUUAUAGAUAAAUGUUCAAAUGAAAAAGAGGAAGCUGUGAAGAUGACUGUAGGACAUCUCUUGUUUUCAGCCUCCCAGAUCUUCUGGUAAUUUAAGUGGAAAUUGAUAAUACUAAAAGAUUGUCAUGAAUUUCAAAAAGGCUUUUCUAAUCUACAACUCCCCUGUAGACUUUUAUAAAGAGAUUUCUGUAUAAAGAUUUUGACUUUUAUAAAGAGAUUUUUGUUACCAAUUAGAUGCUAGACUGGAAAGUAAUCAACUUAGGGAAAAAUAUAUAAAUAUAAAUGUGUAUGUGUGUAUUUUUUUUCAUGAUUUUAAUCAACUAAGAGAAGUAGAGUUUUUACACUAAUUUUGAAGGUUGCAUAUUUAGAAUCUUGCAUUUUAUUAAAGGCAAUAUCAUAAUACUUAACAUCUAUGCCAGAGACCUGCUUGGUUAUAUUAUAUGAAGAGAGGCAUGCUUUUUAUGGAAUCAUUUCUAAGGAAGUGGACAUUGAAAUGACAAUUCCAAGAAAAAUGCUUUCCUUUGUCUAAUUUGUUUUUACCCCUUCUUUACAGGUUUUUUAUGUUACCAUGCUUUAGCAGAAGUCAAUUAAUCAUAUAUUUUAAAUAAAAUGUUUCAUAAUUUACCAAGACCAAUUCUGUCAGUAGCACAGUAUGCUAGAUGUGUAUUCAAUUUAGAUGAUGGUGAAUCCUGAUCUCUAAACCCUGUGGUUUCAGUGAUAAGGAUGGAGUGUGCAAACAUGGAACAUGGAACAUCUUCUUAAAAAGUUAAGGGACAGUCUUCUUCAUGAUUUCAGUGGAAGUUAAGAUGGAAAGGGUACCACUUAAAGUAUCUUAACAGUGGAAGGAGAAAAGCAAAAUUCACAGCAUCAGAAACGUUCAGGGAAAUUCAUUUGUCCUUGAAUAAGUUUCACAAAUAUAGAUGUGAAAUGGUUAAGAAGCAACAUUCCAGUUUUGGGUAAGUUAGGCUGCAGAAACAAAUAUAACCCCAAGUCUUAAUGGCUUUCAACCACAGAAGUUUAUUUUUAGUUCUUAUUAUAUGCCUGAACUGGCUUUAGAAUUUCACCUCAGUAUGACAGAGUAGAUUUCUAAGAGCCUGGCCUGUUCGCAGGCAACAGCUCUGAACUCCAAACAAAAUACUCU
rnacentral:lncRNA from 1 species